rnacentral:rRNA from 1 species
CAGCCGCCGCGGUAAUACCGGCGGCCCGAGUGGCGGCCACUAUUAUUGGGCUUAAAGCGUCCGUAGCCGGGUUGGGAAGUCCUCCGGGAAAUCUGGCCGCUUAACGGUCAGAAUUCCGGGAGAUACUGCCAGCCUAGGGACCGGGAGAGGCCGAGGGUAUUCCCGGAGUAGGGGUGAAAUCCUAUAAUCCCGGGAGGACCACCUGUGGCGAAGGCGCUCGGCUGGAACGGGUCCGACGGUGAGGGACGAAGGCCAGGGGAGCAAACCGGAUUAGAUACCCGGGUAGUCCUGGCGGUAAACGAUGCGGACUUUGUGUCGGACAAGCUAUGAGCUUGUCCGGUGCCGGAGGGAAACCGUUAAGUCCGCCGCCUGGGGAGUACGGCCGCAAGGCUGAAACUUAAAGGAAUUGGCGGG